rnacentral:snoRNA from 2 species
CCCCGCUGGGGAUCACAGCUGGAGAGUUUCCGGGACUCUAUUAGUCUCGGCUACGGGAGGGAGAGUCAAGCAGAGGCCUACCCAUUCCAUUCCUAGCUUGGGCAGCGGCUAGCUAGUGGAAGGCAAUCUGCUACAAGG